rnacentral:lncRNA from 1 species
UCCCCUCAAACCAUAAGUCCAUUCUCAACUUCCAUCUCCCUCUGAACUCACACCCUAGAGACCGCCGCCAUAAAAAUCCCCACCGUAUCUGCCGACGGCAGACCUCCCCAAUCACUUCUAAAUCUUUCCCACGCAACCCCCAGUCCCUCCUAUAUCCUAUCCCCGCAUCUAUUUCCAAAAAUUUACAACGGACUUCCUCCAAUUUAAAAUAUAGGAAUUUCAAAAACCCUAAGUUAUUCUUCUUUUCUGAUUUUGCGCAAGUUCCAACUCGUUUUGACCUAAAGCUUAGUUAGUCUAUUGCUUUUAACGAGUGAAAUCGAUUUGCAUUAGUAUUAGUUCAUUCCAAGUUCAUUGGAUUUUGACUGACUCACCAAAUUCCGGUCAAACUUUGACUGCUUUCAUCGUUCGUCGAGUCGUCUCAAUUUGUUAAUUCAUUCUGGCAAGAAUUGGUACCUUUCCCCUCUUUUCUGUAUUGACUUUUUUUUCUUAUAUUAUUUUUUUGAUUUUUUAUAUUAUUAUUACUUUUAUGUUUAGGUUUAUGUUUGUUUUGUUAUUUAAUCCUAUUCUUUUGGUUGGUUGAAUUAAUUUUUGUUUGUUUAGAGUCGUUGUUUUUAAUUGGUUAAUAGCAGAAGUUAGGGUUAAUAGUAAAAAUCAUUUAAUUCUGGAUUGUUUUCUUUUUCUUCUUUUGUUAAUCACUGAAUUAGAUUUUGUUUGAUCAUUUUGGCUAGCUUCUGGAUAAACUGUGUGGUUAUCUCUUACCCGGUUAAAGAGGCAUGUUCAUUUGGGUUAGGUCUGUGGUCAAUUUGACCUAGGUGUGAUUCAUUCUGAAUGUAAAUAUAGUGGUGUCAAGGGGUUUUUUUGGUAAUUGAGGGAUGGGGGAAUAUUUUCUGUUAUAGGAAGCUUCUAGAGGAUAAGGUUAGGCUAGUUUGUUAAGGGAUAAGGGAGGGUUUAGAUAUUUUGAAAGGGUUAAGGGGUAAAAUCACUAAGGGGGAAUUAACAAUGCACACUAGGGUUGCCUUAAAAGUGCCUAUAUAAGGCCCAUUUUCCUUCAUUUUUUGGCAGACGUUGAGAACCGUAGAGAAUACACCCAAAUUUCAGCAUUGUUUGAAGGUGUUGAAUGGUUUUCGCUUCUCAUUUCUUUCCUGGAAAAAAAACAAACAAGUCUGAAGAUCUUUCUCUGGAUCUCUAUUUUUAAUAUGGAUUGAGUGGAAGCUACUUGUUGGCUGAUCAUUGAUGUUUCUUCACUUGUAUGCUUAUCUGAGCUUCCUUAAUUUCUUAUCAUUUUUACUCUCUAUAUUAAGGUAUUUCUUGGGCUACGAGGACUGCGAAAGUGCAAAGUUCUUUGAUGUAUUUGUAAUAUGAAUUUCAAUGGAUGAAUUUUGGAUUUUCAUUUCUUCCUAUAUGUGUUCUUCUUAAGUUACUAUGUGUAUUUUUAGUUUGUUCUCUUUCAGUUAUUAUGGUUACUGUGGAAUCUUCUGAAUGGACAAUGAUUUUGGAAGAAUUUUAUAUAUUAGUAUCUUGAUGUUAAUGUCCAUACUUUCAAAUUAGUAAAUGUGUUUUGUGAUUUCUUUUUCAUUUAAGAUUGUUAAUUUGAAGAUCACGUUACGGUUAAAUAUUUGAACUACAUAGUUUAGUCAUUUAAUUUUAGUAAUGUUAGCUGGCUAUUGAAACUACAUAGUUUACUGAUUUAUAAUAGCAAUGUUAGAGUACUUUGUUGAUGCGAGAUUAUUAUGAAUUAGAUUUGUAGUUUUAGAUUCAUGCUCAUCUUACUAUUGUCUGUAAGGAGGUGUUUAAAUUAGAUUCAUAAUUUUGUGUUCGUAUCUAGCUUCUUAUAUAAUAUUUUCUCUAAAUUCUUAAGGGGUUUAGGCCAGGCAAGGACCUGUAAGGAAGCAGCCUGCUGGAAAAUGGGCUCUUCAUGAUUGUUUUGCUCUUAUUGUUCAUUGGGCCCAAUCUUGAGCCCUAUUGUACCCAUCAAGUUUUAUUUCCUUAAUUUUUGUAUUGGUAUGGUGAAAAGGUGUCUUUCUAGUACUAUAGGGCCACUCUUGGCCCAACGAUAGGUUUGGCAUUAGCCUAGCCUUUCCUGUUAUUCUUUUCUAAAUUCUUUUAAACACUCAGGCCCCUUUCAAGUAAUCAAAUGCCUGGUGCUAUCCAGUGUGGGUUUAUUAACUAGUAGGUUUAGAUUGAACCUUAACUUAGAAUAAAUCUGAACACCUUUAGACCCUUUUAGUUAGGUAUUCUCGUUUACCAAUAGAUUGAGGUGUGCCAUUUAACUAAAUUACCCAUGGCCCUCACAGAUAUUAUAUUAUUUGUUAAGAAUUAAAAAUCGUAGAAAAUGCCUUUAGACGCGAUUAAAAUACAAUUGUGACUGUGUAUACGUUCGCGUGACAUGGUUACAAUUCUAAAAAAUAAUUUGGAGUACGUGUUCGCAUAACUUCGACCAAACCUUCUUAAUAAUGAAGUUGUUAUUAAUGGACCACUAAUUAAUUUUUUCGCAUAUUGUCCAAGAAAAACAAUUUAAUCAUACAUGGACCUCAUAUUAAUUUCAUUACCUAGAUAUUAAAUGACAAAAGCUCGGUGUUGCUUUAGGCCUGUUUAAUAUACCAUCAUGGUUGCGUACACGUUCGUGUGACAUGAUUAUGAUUUUUAAAAUAAAACCGGAGUAUGCGUUCAUGAAACUUUGGACAAACUUUUCUUAAUAAUAAUAAAGCGUCAUUAAUUGUGGACACGGACGUGUGACAUUUUUCAAGAUAAUUUCUUAAUUAAAAGAGGUGAAUGCACAUAGGUCCUAAAAUGAGUAAUUAGACAAUUUGAUUAAGCCAAGUAUGAUCAAAGCGACUGUGCUAGAACCACGGAACUCGAGAAUGCCUUGUAUCUUCUCCCGAGUUAACAGAAUUUCUUACCCAAAUUUUCGUGUUUUGCAGACUUUAUAUAGUAUCAAACUUCCUCGAUUCGAGAUUUUAAACCGGUGACUUGGGACACUUCCCAGGGGCAAAUCUGAUUUUUAAAUAAAUAAUCUCAUUUCGAUUGACACUUAAAUUGAAAAAAACUCCCUUAUACUCUCCCCUUCCGGGGGUAGGAAAAACGAGGUGUGACAGCGUGUAUAUAAUGUUGUAACUUUUUCCCAUAUCCCAUAUAUAUAUAAUAUAAUUUUAUAUACGUAUCUAACGCCAUCUUGUCAUGGGUCAAUGAAUAUGCAUAAAUUAAUGCAAUGCAUGAGAAGUACGUCGAUAAAAUCUCUCGGGAUAUCAUAAGACCAUUAUUCCUUUGAGUAGUAUCAUGAAGUAAACUGUAUGCGGCGAAGUUAGAAGGUCUAAUUUCUUGCUAUUAGUUCAUUCUAGAAGAAUAUCUCGAGGCCUCGAAGAUGCGAAGCUGUGAUCAAUUUUCCUCCCUCCAAGCUCGUCGAGGCUCGGCCUAAAGGUAAUAUCAAUCAAGGCUAGCGUCAAAACGGGGAGUUUCUAGGGCACAUCAUUAAGCCUGACAAAGCUGGCCCACCCAGAGCCUGUAUCAAGGUGUCGCAUC